rnacentral:rRNA from 1 species
GUCAGGUAUUAAGGGCUGUUGGGGAAUGUCUUGGCACUGUUUUGGCGAGGAAGGUCGUGAUAAGCUGCGAAAAGCGACGGGGAGCUGCAAAUAAGCUUUGAUCCGUUGAUUACCGAAUGGGGAAACCCGUAUGGAGUAAUGUCCAUACAUUAUGCACUGAAUCAAAUAGGUGUAUAAAGCUAACCGAGCGAAUUGAACCAUCUUAGUAGCUCGAGGAAAAGAAAUCAAACGAGAUUCCGAAAGUAGUGGCGAACGAAAUUGGAAUAGCCUAAACCAUUGAUGCUUGCAUUAAUGGGGUUGCAGGACUUUCGUAUAAGAGUUAUCAAGUUUAUUCAUAUAAGAAUCGUCUGGGAAGUCGAACCGUAGAGAGUAAAAGUCUCGUAAUUUAAAUGAAUAAGCCUCUUGAGAGUAUCCUAAGUAGGGUCAGACACGAGAAAUCUGGCUUGAAUCUGGGUGGACCACCAUCCAAGGCUAAAUACAAACAGUGACCGAUAGUGGACAAGUACCGUGAGGGAAAGAUGAAAAGAACCCCGGGAGGGGAGUGAAAUAGAACCUGAAACCAAUAGCCUACAAGCCGUAGGAGCUCUAUUUAUAGAGUAACUGCGUGCCUUUUGUUUAAUGAUCCGGCGACUUAUUGUAUGUAGCGAGGUUAAGUAAUGUAGUUACGAAGCCGAAGGGAAACCGAGUGUUAAAAGCGCGAUUUAAGUUGCAUGCAAUAGACCCGAAGCCGCGUGAGCUACCUAUGUCCAGGUUGAAGCUUUGGUAACACAAAGUGGAGGACCGAACUCACUAGCGUGAAAAGCUAGGGGAUGAGGUGUGGGUAGGAGUGAAAGGCUAAACAAACGUGGCGAUAGCUGGUUCUCUCCGAAAUAGCUUUAGGGCUAGCCUUCUAUGUUUAGUUUUGGUGGUAGAGCACUGAUUGGACUAGGGCCCUUCACCGGGUACCAAACCCAGAUAAACUUCGAAUGCCAAAACUUAAUAGUAGAGGAGUCAGACUGCGAGCGAUAAGGUCCGUAGUCGAGAGGGAAACAACCCAGAUCACAAGCUAAGGUCCCCAAUUAUAUGUUAAGUGGAAAAGGAAGUGAGGUGGCAAAAACAGCCAGGAGGUUGGCUUGGAAGCAGCCAUUCCUUUAAAGAGUGCGUAAUAGCUCACUGGUCGAGUUGCCUUGCACCGACAAUUCAACGGGGCUAAACAUAUAACCGAAGCUGUGAACUUGAUUUUUAAUCAAGUGGUAGGAGAGCGUUGUGUAUGCUGAUGAAGCAAGAUGGUAAUGUCUUGUGGAGGUAUCACAAGUGAGGAUGCCGGAAUGAGUAACGAUAAAACUGAUGAAAAAUCAGUUCGCCGAAAACUCAAGGUUUCCCGGAUAAAGGUAAUCUGUCCGGGGUUAGUCGGUCCCUAAGGUGAGGCUGAAAAGCGUAAUCGAUGGGAAACUGGUUUAUAUUCCAGUACCUCUUAAUUCAUCGAUGGGAUGACGCGGGAGAUGAAUCUAGACCCGAGCGUUGGUUGACUCGGGAGAGGAGACGAGUUUAUGAGAGCUAUAGUUAAAUGCGUAGCUUGAGAUGAGUCUCUGAAGGAGUGAAGUGAAAGCGGAAUGAAGCUAGAUAGUCAUACUGCCAAGAAAUAAUCUCUAAGAAUAUGUUUUAAGAGACCGUACCGUAAACCGACACAGGUGAGUAGGAAGAAUAUUCUAAGGCGCUCGAGAUAACUACUGUUAAGGAACUCGGCAAAUUGCAUCCGUAACUUAGGGAUAAGGAUGGCCUACUGGUUCAAUCCAGAGGUUGCAACAAAUUGGCCCAAGCGACUGUUUACCAAAAACACAUGACUCUGCGAACCAUUAAUGGGAAGUAUAGGGUCUGACACCUGCCCGGUGCUGGAAGGUUAAGAGGAGAGGUUAGCGCAAGCGAAGCUUUGAAUUGAAGCCCCAGUAAACGGCGGCCGUAACUAUAACGGUCCUAAGGUAGCGAAAUUCCUUGUCGGGUAAGUUCCGACCUGCACGAAUGGUG